rnacentral:rRNA from 1 species
ACUCCUACGGGAGGCAGCAGUAGGGAAUCUUCCACAAUGGGCGCAAGCCUGAUGGAGCAACACCGCGUGAGUGAAGAAGGGUUUCGGCUCGUAAAGCUCUGUUGUUAAAGAAGAACACGUAUGAGAGUAACUGUUCAUACGUUGACGGUAUUUAACCAGAAAGUCACGGCUAACUACGUGCCAGCAGCCGCGGUAAUAUGUAGGUGGCAAGCGUUAUCCGGAUUUAUUGGGCGUAAAGAGAGUGCAGGCGGUUUUCUAAGUCUGAUGUGAAAGCCUUCGGCUUAACCGGAGAAGUGCAUCGGAAACUGGAUAACUUGAGUGCAGAAGAGGGUAGUGGAACUCCAUGUGUAGCGGUGGAAUGCGUAGAUAUAUGGAAGAACACCAGUGGCGAAGGCGGCUACCUGGUCUGCAACUGACGCUGAGACUCGAAAGCAUGGGUAGCGAACAGGAUUAGAUACCCU